rnacentral:rRNA from 1 species
CCUACGGGGGGCAGCAGUGGGGAAUAUUGGGCAAUGGGCGCAAGCCUGACCCAGCAACGCCGCGUGAAGGAAGAAGGCUUUCGGGUUGUAAACUUCUUUUCUGAGGGACGAAGAAAGUGACGGUACCUCAGUAAUAAGCCACGGCUAACUACGUGCCAGCAGCCGCGGUAAUACGUAGGUGGCAAGCGUUAUCCGGAUUUAUUGGGUGUAAAGGGCGUGUAGGCGGGAAAGCAAGUCAGAUGUGAAAACUCAGGGCUCAACCCUGAGCCUGCAUUUGAUACUGUUUUUCUUGAGUGCUGGAGAGGCAAGCGGAAUUCCUAGUGUAGCGGUGAAAUGCGUAGAUAUUAGGAGGAACACCAGUGGCGAAGGCGGCUUACUGGACAGUAACUGACGUUGAGGCUCGAAAGCGUGGGGAGCAAACAGGAUUAGAUACCCCUGUAGUC